ensembl:misc_RNA 7SK 7SK RNA
GGAAGUGAUUGCCACAGCUGAUCUGGCUGGCUGGGUCAUGUCCCUUUCUCCUUCACACUCCACGAGUGUCCCUCCCAAAGCUGCUCGUGUGGUCAAAAAGAACAAACUUUCUAGACAGAGGAGGCUAGUUCUUCAGUCAUGAGGAGCUGUGCUCCUCUUCUAGAACCUCCUGUUGUGUCUGGGUGACCAACACUGCCCGGGGGAGCUACCUGGGAUUUGUAAACUUCAUACCAAUUUAAAAAAUCAUUAGAUAUAAAGGUUAAGUA